AUGAUACAUUAUCAGCACACAUGAUAGUAGGUAGCUACGUGCUAAGGCUAACUUUUUUCCGUGUUAAUGAUAAAAUAAAUAAUAAUGUACUUUCUCGAGCUCUGAACCAGCACUCAACCAGUACUUUUUGAUGGAAAAAGGGUAUAUUAUGUGACUCCCAGAGCCAGCAAGACCUUUGGGUAAGUAGAAUAGGUUUAAAGCCUAGUGUCGCCUUAAGCAUGAAAACUGAGGUUACAAACACUUGGCCUGGUUGCCAGAGAAAAGCCUUGAGAGGCUCAGCGGUCCUUAUGGAUUUUACACAAACGAUUCAUUUUCUAAAACAAAAGUUAUACAUAUAAUAAUAUUAAAAUGCCAAGAAGUCUGACUGAUCAUCUGUUUAGGCAAACAACAUCAAACUAUCCCAGUUUACAAUAUAACUCCCAGAGUUUCACCUUUACUCAAGAGAACAACAACGCAACAAUGCCUGAGUUAACACAAACACUCAUUAGAAGUGUUUUCCAUAUCUGACAGGGCUUUGUAGCACCUCCCCAUGCUGUAAGCUUUGGUAUUAUAAGUACUGAUAAAGAACCUGUACCUUUUUGUUCUAGCAGACAUUGUGGAUUAUAAUAAGACCAAAAUCUUCCUUAGCUAGUGUGCAGUAUUUAAUAAAUCGGUGUGAACUUUUACAGGGAGUCAGUGUAGUGUGGGUACUGUGUGUAUUGCUGAUGUAGUCAAACUUUCUAGCACUUUCUAACUGCUGCAGCAACUUUUUAGCAAUGUUUCUGAGAUUUAAAAAAAUCACCUGGAUAUCUGUUUAUGUGCAUGCUGAGACCAUACAAUCACAUAGUAGUAUAGUCUUUUCACCUUGUGCGCCAUAGGAAAGCUACACUAUAGGGCUAAAAGUAUGUGCCCCCUGACCAUCACACCCAUAUGAUCUUCUUCCCCAAACAGUUUCCACAAAGUCCAGAGCGCACAGUUGUACAGAACGUCCCUGUGCAUGUAGUGUUACAGCUUCACUUCACCUGAUCUCAGAGCCGAAACUCUGCUCCAUCAUGACAAUGUCCCUUCGCACAAAGCAGCUCCAUGAAGACACGGUGUGGAGGUGAAUGUUGGAGUGAAGAUCUCGAGUGUCCUACACAGACCACUGACUCUGACAUAACACCUUUGGGAUGAACUGGAACCGAAGUCUCCUAAACAUCUCAAAAUCAGAGUCGAUCACAUGAACACUAAUCCACACAGCCAUAAUCCAACAUCUAGUGGAAAAAUAUUCCAUAAGAGAAGAUAAGAAUAGCACUGAUUGUAACAGCAAACGAUGUGGAUUGAGACGUUCAGCAUGCACAUGUGGGUUUGAUGGUCAGAGGUACACAUACUUGUUGGUCAUACAGUUUAUCUGCUUGAUGUAAGGUUAAUUAUCAGUACUUGUUCUUCUUCCUUUUCCCUUUCGAAUCCUGGGACUAGUUUGUGUGUGUUUGAGGGGAAACUGGAAAGAAAGAAUCUGAAUCCUUUGGUUCUCUCAGGCAUGAGCAGGAACCGUUGUGUCAGAUGUGUUGACUCAGGCUGGAUAAAUCAGUAGCAUGGUGAGAUGAUACUGAGAACAUGGUUCAAAGAUGAUUCAACACACUUCUGGAUUAUUGCAGGACUGACAGUUAGUAUUUUCAUUGUUUCUCUUCUCCAUUCCUCUGUGUUUACACGUUUUUUAAAUAAUGUACAAGCCAUUGUUCUUGUAUGAAUAACUUCUAUGUGAAAAAUGUGAAAGUGUCUUAUUUCCCCCUCAGCGUUUCUGUAACUGAAGCACUGCACCAAUGUUUUUGUUCCAGCAUUUAUUUCUCAUCAUUUUUCAUUCUUUAAUUUCACAGUGAUGUUUAAUUGAAUAUCUAAAAGUUGAGUAGAUACUAGCCCUGGGAUUUAGGGUUAGGGUUCACAUGAGCCCUGUUGGAGCCCUGGGGUUUAGGGUUAGGGUUCACAUGAGCCCUGUUGCAGCCCUGGGGUUUAGGGUUAGGGUUCAUGUGAGCCCUGUUGGAGCCCUGGGGUUUAGGGUUAGGGUUCACGUGAGCCCUAUUGGAGCCCUAGGGUUUAGGGUUAGGGUUCACAUGAGCCCUGUUGGAGCCCUAGGAUUAGAGUUCAUGUGAGCCCUGUUGGAGCCCUAGGGUUUAGGGUUAGGGUUCACGUGAGCCCUGUUGGAGCCCUAGGGUUUAGGGUUAGGGUUCACGUGAGCCCUGUUGGAGCCCUAGGGUUUAGGGUUAGGGUUCACAUGAGCCCUGUUGGAGCCCUAGGGCUGGAGAAAAUCCUGCUUAAUCUGUUCAGCUGCCAGCUCACAGGUCUGGAACAGCAUCUUUGCCAGCUGACAAAUUAUUUUAUAAAUUUGUUUUAUUGGAUUUAACAUUGAGCAGCAGAAUGAGAUUGUCUUUACAGUUCAAUCAUGUGUGACGUAGCAUUAUUAGCGAUUCAGACGCAGCUCUCUUUCUACUUGCACUUUCCAGCUGGUAAAAUAUGGUUUACAAGCAGGUGCUUUGGUAGUGAGUGAGAAAAAAUAAAAAGUGAGAAGAUAUUCUUGAAUAAAUGAAAUAAAUGA